rnacentral:rRNA from 1 species
GACGAACGCUGGCGGCGUGCUUAACACAUGCAAGUCGAACGGAAAGGCCCUGCUUUUGUGGGGUGCUCGAGUGGCGAACGGGUGAGUAACACGUGAGUAACCUGCCCUUGACUUUGGGAUAACUUCAGGAAACUGGGGCUAAUACCGGAUAGGAGCUCCUGCUGCAUGGUGGGGGUUGGAAAGUUUCGGCGGUUGGGGAUGGACUCGCGGCUUAUCAGCUUGUUGGUGGGGUAGUGGCUUACCAAGGCUUUGACGGGUAGCCGGCCUGAGAGGGUGACCGGCCACAUUGGGACUGAGAUACGGCCCAGACUCCUACGGGGGGCAGAAGUGGGGAAUAUUGCACAGUGGGCGGAAGCCUGAUGCAGCAACGCCGCGUGCGGGAUGACGGCCUUCGGGUUGUAAACCGCUUUCGCCUGUGACGAAGCGUGAGUGACGGUAAUGGGUAAAGAAGCACCGGCUAACUACGUG